UUUGCAGAUGUUACUAUCCAUCUUACCUAUUCUCCAGAGGUUUGCAUGCUGAUGCUACAAGAGUAGCUAUUGGAGGUUGAUACCUUAUUAGUGAUUUAUGGUUCGCUAUUCUGGUGGCAUUUUUAAUGGACAUGAAGUUCUAGUUUUUGUUGUUUAUUGGAUCAUUUUGCGUCAAUUGCAGAAAUAAAUGGAGCAGGGCCCCUUGUAGAAUACGAGCGAAGAGUUACCUCUGGUGAACUUGUGGAUGGAGAUGUUUGCCAAGUUGGUUAACGGAAUUACCACUUUAUGAUUUAAUUCCUUUGAAGGUAACAGAGUGCAUAGUGAUUAGUAAACACACAAGGCGAGGAUUUUAAGAAUGGUAAUCCUAUUGCUUGUACUCUUGUUAAGUUUGUUGCAACUUACAUCUACACCUGGCUGAGCUACUCUCCUUUCAAAAGAUUUUUUCUCGUUAGCUUGUAACAAUAAUGGCAAACUAGAAAUGAUAUCUUAGCUUGCUGAUAUCAUGUGUAAAUCUGCUCGAUAAUUUUAGACGUACUGGCUACAGAUAAUUUUAACAGUUAAAUAGAUGUUAGGUAAACAUUUUGCUACUUGUAUUUCUCUUUCCUUAUAGAUACUAAGGAUUGCUUUCAAAAGAGAAUAGGUUUUAAAAAAAGGAAAUUUUGAAUGAUGUUAAGAAAAACAUUUCUGUACUAUGUGAGCAGUGUAUGGUCAUAGUCUUCUAUGUUGUCGUUGUCUUUUAAAAGUGAAACACCUUCUGAAAUGAAUUUGCAGUUAGGCACUUUGAGAGAACUUCAGAGACUCUGCG
rnacentral:lncRNA from 1 species